CCCACACUGCAGACCAAGUGACUCAGAAGGUCUAAGCCAGAAGCCAGCACUUGGACAAGGAUUUCUGGUGAUUUUUGUGAAGACUAGAAUUUGAGAACCACAGGUUCAAGGAUAAUUAUAGUGGGACAAAGGACACAAAGACCAUCGCUAGGGGAGUUGAGCUCUGACACAUAAUCAAGAUGUUCCCUAUCUUCUCUUCAGAAUUCCAGACGCCAGCUUCUGUCUCCAACUCCCAGUGGGUCCUUCAAAAUUCCAAACUCAACUUGUCCCCGGCCAAAUACCUCAUCACCUGGCUGUUGCAGAGGCUUCUCCACCAGCCUUCCCCAGCAUGGCAAAAGACCACUCCGUCCUUUUGGUUUGCGCAGACCAGGCACAUCUGCCUUUUCUCCCUUCCCCUCGCUUUCCCUCUUUCUCCCCAUAUUUAUCCAAAUAGCUCAGCUUCACAACAUGCCAGAAUCAUCUCAGCACAGUUCUGCCCUUCACGGCGGGCCUAGCUGCCAUGAACCUGGCUUGCCUUUCCACAGUGCCUCCCGACCUUCUCCCUGCCUGUGCCCUUGCGCUCCCUCCCUCUCCAACCACUGCAAGGCCACCCUCAGCAGCCACAGUGACCCUCUGCUCAAAGCCAUCCAUCCGUUCCCAACCUCUCCUCAACUGGACACCUAAGUCCUCAGAGUGCCUUGGUCAGGACCCUAGCUGCCCCUCACUGCCUACAACUUUCUCCAGUAUCUCCUGUGCCCCAGCCUCACUAGUCGCCCUGCUGUUCUGGAGCACACUGAGCAUGACCCUGCCGGAAUCUCGGCACUGACUGUUCUUCCUGGACCACUCUUCCCUCAGAUGUCUGAGUAGCUCUCUCCCUUGUCUCCUUUACUUCAAUAUUACCUCCUCAGGGUCCCCUACUAUUUAAAAUUGCAGCCCUUCACAGUCUGCCUUCCCUUUCCCUGUCUUGAUUUCUUUUUCGUAGCACUGGGCAUAUUCUAAUGCUCUAUGUAAUUUAUUAUGCUUAUUUCUUAUCUCUUCCCAAUAGAAGGUAAGCUCUGCAUAGGCAGAAAUUUUUGCUUAUUUUAUUCACUGCUGUAUUUCAGGAUCUAGAACUAUGCCUGGAACACGAGAGA
rnacentral:lncRNA from 1 species